rnacentral:rRNA from 1 species
AUUGAACGCUGGCGGCAGGCCUAACACAUGCAAGUCGAACGCGUGGCGGACGGGUGAGUAAUGUCUGGGAAACUGCCUGAUGGAGGGGGAUAACUACUGGAAACGUUAGCUACUACCGCAUACCAUCAGAUGUGCCCCGAUGGGAUUAGCUUGUUGGUGGGGUAACGGCUCACCUAGGCGACGAUCCCUAGCUGGUCUGAGAGGAUGACCAGCCACACUGGAACUGAGAAACGGUCCAGACUCCUACGGGAGGCAGCAGUGGGGAAUAUUGCACAAUGGGCGCAAGCCUGAUGCAGCCAUGCCGCGUGUAUGAAGAAGGCCUUCGGGUUGUAAAGCACUUUAAGCGGGGAGGCGUUACUCGAAGAAGAAGCACCGGCUAACUCCGUGCCAGAAGCCGCGGUAAUAC